rnacentral:misc_RNA from 1 species
UUGUCCAAUAUGCCAGGCUGUACUGCUUCAUUACCCUUAGAUGCUCGUAAAGGUAGUAUGCUGACCCCUGGACAAGAUAUGCAGUAUUGUCCUGUUACACAGUUUGUUGGUCAGCUCCUACGUUUAUUGGUAUGCCACAAUGAAAAAUUUGGUACUCAGAUUCAGAAACAUGUUAAGGAAUUAGUAGCCCACGAAAUGAGUCCUACACUUUAUCCAAUUUUAUUUGACCAAAUAAAAGCUAUUGUGGAAAAAUUCUUUGAUUCUCAAGGACAAGUUGUUGUUACUGAACCAAACACACAAUUUAUAGAACAUAUAAUUUUUAUUCUGAAAAGUGUACUCGAGAAUAAAGUCGAUCAUACUGCAGAACAUCUUGGUGUUAGCAGUAUUGAGGGAAUGAUGUUAGCUAUUGUAAGAUAUGUACGACACUUGGAUACCACAGUUCAUGCCAUUCAGAUCAAAACAAAACUAUGCCAACUUGUUGAAGCUAUGAUGGUGCGAAGAGAUGAUUUAGCCUUCCGUCAAGAAAUGAAAUUCCGUAAUAAACUUGUAGAAUAUUUGACAGAUUGGGUAAUGGGUAAUAGCCAUCAGCUUGCUCCACCGAAUUCUGGUGAUGUAACGACUUUAACAAGAGACCUAGAUCAAUCUUGUAUGCAAGCUGUUGCAGCUUUAUUGAGAGGCUUACCACUGCAGCCAGAGGAGAGUGAUAGAGGAGAUUUAAUGGAAGCUAAAUCACAAUUAUUCCUGAAGUAUUUCUCUCUGUUCAUGAACUUGUUAAAUGAAUGUGGUGAUUCAACUGAAGAAAAAGAUGUUUCACGCCACAGGGUCCAUGUGUCCAGGUUAAGUGAGCUGAGAACAUGCACUAUUCAAGCAAUGUCUAAUCUUUUGAGUGCCAAUGUUGAUAGUGGAUUGAUGCAUUCCAUAAGUUUAGGAUAUCAUAAAGAUCUUCAAACAAGAGCAGCAUUUAUGGAAGUUUUGACAAAAAUUCUCCAACAAGGUACAGAAUUUGAUAUGCUUGCUGAAACUGUAUUAGCUGACAGAUAUGAGCAGUUGGUUCAACUUGUUACUAUGAUUGGGGAUAAAGGAGAGCUACCAAUAGCAAUGGCAUUGGCUAGUGUUGUUAUGAGUCCACAAAUGGAUGAACUAGCGAGGGUUUUUGUUACACUUUUUGAUGCUAAGCAUUUAUUGGCUCCAUUACUUUGGAAUAUGUUUUAUAAAGAGGUUGAAGUUACAGAUUGUAUGCAAACCCUCUUUCGUGGAAAUAGUCUAGGAAGCAAAAUUAUGGCAUUUUGUUUUAAAAUAUAUGGAGCAAGCUAUUUGUUAAGUUUACUGGACCCAUUGAUAAGUCCAUUACUGGACCAACCCAAUAUAAGUUACGAGGUUGAUCCCGCACGUCUUGAAGAAGGUGAAGAUGUUGAAGAAAAUAGACGAAAUUUAUUAUCAAUCACUCAAAAAGUGUUUAAUGCCAUAGUCUCAUCAGCUGACAGGUUUCCAUUACAGUUGAGGAGCAUGUGCCAUUGUUUAUAUCAAGUGCUAAAUAAAAGAUUUCCGAAUUUUCCUCAUAAUAUCAGUGCUGUAGGAACUGUGAUAUUUCUUCGUUUUAUUAAUCCUGCAAUUGUUUCUCCAUUUGAAAUGGGAAUAGUUGACAAACAGCCAUCUGGUCGCACAAAAAGAGGAUUGAUGCUAAUGUCCAAAAUAUUGCAGAAUAUUGCAAAUCAUGUAGAAUUCAGCAAAGAACAACAUAUGCUUCCAUUUAAUGACUUUUUACGUGCCAAUUUUGAACAUGGAAGAAGGUGGGUGGUACAGAUCACUUCAGAUUUGGAAUCCAUGGAUCAAACUAGUCACAGCAUGUCUUUCAUUAGUGAUGCCAAUGUUCAUGCUCUUCAUCGACUUCUGUGGAACCACCAAGAAAAGAUUGGAGAUUAUCUUUCCAGCUCACGUGACCAUAAAGCAGUUGGACGUCGACCUUUUGAUAAAAUGGCUACUUUGUUAGCUUAUUUAGGUCCUCCAGAACAUAAACCUGUCGAUUCACAGUGGAGUAGCAUGGACAUGACUAGCACAAAGUUUGAAGAAAUCAUGUCCAAACACAAUAUGCAUGAAAAAGAUGAAUUCAAAUCGAUAAAAUCUCUUAAUAUAUUUUAUCAGGCUGGAACUUCUAAAAGUGGUCAUCCAGUAUUUUAUUUUAUAGCUAGGCGUUAUAAAAUUGGAGAGACAAAUGGUGAUCUUCUAAUUUAUCAUGUGAUUCUAACUUUGAAACCUUUCUGUCAUAAACCUUUUGAACUUGUUGUGGACUUUACUCACACCAGUACUGAAAACAGAUUCAGAACAGAGUUCCUUCAGAAGUGGUUUGUAGUCCUGCCAGAAGUUGCUUAUGAGAAAACACAAGCAGCAUACAUAUAUAAUUGUAAUUCAUGGGUUAGAGAGUAUACUAAAUUUCAUGAUAGAGUUUUGACUCCUCUAAAAGGUUGUCGAAAGCUUAUUUUUUUGGACACACCACAGAGGCUUAAUGAUUACAUUGAUGUUGAGCAUCAACGUCUUCCGGGUGCAACACUUUCUUUAGAUGAAGAUUUAAAAGUGUUCAAUAAUGCUUUGAAGUUAUCUCACAAAGACACUAAAGUUGCUAUAAAGGUGGGUCCCACUGCUAUUCAAGUAACUUCAGCUGAGAAAACAAAAGUUAUUGGUCAUUCGGUACUUCUAAAUGAUGUAUAUUAUGCAUCAGAAAUUGAAGAAGUUUGUCUUGUAGAUGACAAUCAAUUUACAUUAACUAUUGCGAAUGAAAGUGGCCCUUUGUCCUUUAUCCACAAUGAUUGUGAUAGCAUUGUUCAAGCAAUUAUUCAUAUCCGAACUCGGUGGGAAUUAUCACAGCCUGAUUCUGUGACUGUCCACACAAAGAUCAGGCCAAAGGAUGUACCUGGUACGCUUCUAAAUAUGGCUUUGCUGAAUCUUGGUAGUUCUGAUCCAAAUCUGAGGACUACUGCUUAUAACCUACUAUGUGCUCUUACUGGUACAUUUGAUCUUAAAAUUGAAGGGCAGCUUUUAGAGACUGCAGGAUACAGACAAGUUACUGAUAAUCUUUGAAGAAAAUCUGAAAUCUUCAGAGGACAUAUUCUUUUUUCAUUUAUUUCUCCUUGCAUUGUAAAGGCUACAAAUGAUGGAAUAAAUUAGAAGAUUAUGCAUACCAUCCAACAACACAAUAUUCAUCAAACAGAUCAGUGAGAAAUUAGCACAGAAUGCCUCUCACUUGACUCUGGAAUUUUUGGAAGAAUGUAUUCAGGGGUUCCGUUCUUCAACCAUAGAGCUAAAAC